CGGAGAGAAGCGGAGGGCGCGUCAGCGCCCGGAGCGUAGCGGAGCCCAUUUCCUCAUUAAAUAAGCCAAAUAUAAAAGAAAAAGGAAGUACGGUGGAGAGUAUAUAGGAUUUCUAUACGAUUUCGUCCCUAUACAUCAAAUUUAUAAAAAAUUCUGCCAUUUUAUCAGUGUUGCCCAGUAAUUUUAUCUGGUCAUUUGUUGGUAAAUUUUCGUAAAUAUCUGAUUGAGCGAGACAACGUGUUUUUUACACGGCGAUGGAGUUUUUGUUGUGUUUUAAAGAUGGUGCUAAACGUAGUCAGCCAGCUGGAAGCGAAAUGAUGAGAUUUUUCAAGAAAGAAGUGGAGGUUAUGAUCACUGUUUUUUAAAGAGAUGAAGUAGAAGAAGAGGAAGAAGUGACUGACGUCGGUCGUCUACGACAGACGUGAAGCUACAACUUCAAAAGUUAACAUAAGUAACAUAUGGUGUGCAGAGAGUACAAAGUUUUGACUCAUUUUGGUUAUAUAUUUUUAUAUUUUGAUUUGUUUUUUGCUGUUGUGGUUAAUAUUGCAGUUCUGAGACACUUGUAUAAAGAAAACUAAAUUUUGAUGUUCUUAUAUAUAUAUCAGACUUUCUGUACAUGUGUGGCUAUAAUGUGCAACUAUAAAAGUAUAUAUGCAUUCAUGCCCUGUUGGUCUAAUGGCUAUGACACUCUUAUAAAUGAGAGAUCCAAGUUCGAAUCCUGGACAGGGCUAGGAAAAACAUUAAUUAUGUUGCACAUAUAGCUAUAUAUUGCAGUAUUAAGGAUAUUAUAUUCCGUAUACUAUGAUGUAUAUAUAUAUAUUCUGAUUUUUACCCUGACUUUUUACCUUUGCCGCAGGGAUCUGUGUUGGGCCCCUGCUUUUUCUUUUGUAUAUUGAUGACUUAAAAUCUGUCAUCAAUUCAAACCACCACCACCUAUAUGCAGAUAAUACAAUAAUUAUUUCAUCCCAUAAAAACUUGGAUACCCUUGUCUCGCAGGUCGAGUUAGAACCUUCGCAAGUCGACCUCUGGCUGAAUAAUAACAAAAUUAGAGCCAGUUGAAAAAAGUUGAGAACAAAACUAUCAACUAUAUCUGUAUUCCUUUUAUAUUUCUUAGUUCAUUGUGUUUUUCUCUGUUUUUUCUCUGUCUUAGGAAUCUAACAGGACCCAUGGAAAAAACUUGGUAUAUAAUAUACAAGCUUUUGAAUGGCUAUCCUGUAAAAAAUAUUCCUUUCAAAUAAAUAAAUAUCAUACCGACA